rnacentral:lncRNA from 1 species
AUGUUUCAAAAUGCCUCUAUAGGAAAUGUUACCAUACAUAUAUAUUGAGGGGGUCUCAUUGGGGGGUUCUGAUCCCGGGUCCUGCUUACUGUUUUGUCAGAUUCCCGUAUCCCGCUUACGCUAUGUACGUAAGCAAUUUUCAUUUUUUUUUGUAAUUUCCCGUGUCCCGCUAGACUUCAGUUCCCGUUUUCACGGCACAAUAAUUCGACUUUCACGUUUCACGCUUAUAAACAAUCGGCAAUCCCGCGUCACGCUUAGACCCCAAUGAGACCCACUAUGGAGGUAG